AUUGAACGCUGGCGGCAGGCCUAACACAUGUAAGUCGAGCGAGCGGCGGACGGGUGAGUAACGUAUGGGGCCUGCCCGAUAGGGGGGGUUAACUACUGGAAACGGUGGUUAAUACCGCAUACUAUCGGAUAACCCAGAUGUGAUUAGCUAGUAGGUGGGGGAAAGGCUCACCUAGGCGACGAUCUCUAGCUGGUCUGAGAGGAUGAUCGACCACACGGGGACUGAGACACGGCCCAGACUCCUACGGAGGCAUCGGUGGGGAGUAUUGCGCAUUGGGGGCAAGCCGGAUGCAGCCAUUCCGCGUGGAUGAAGAAGGCCUUAGAGUUGUAAAGUACUUUCAGCGGGGAGGCGGUACCCGCAGAAGAAGCGCCGGCUAACUCCGUGCCAGCAGCCGCGGUAAUUC
rnacentral:rRNA from 1 species